AAAUCAACAUGAAUGAGUGAUGGUUUAUCAUCGCCUGUAAUGCUAUUUGAAAGUAAAUGAGUGUGUUUUCUCACUCUUUCACUCAAAUAAGGACGUGAAUUAGGUAAGAAUGUCCCAGACGUUAGUAAAAGUUGCAAUUCUAAUCGUUUAUUUACAUUUGAUGGAACUUUUGCAAUUGAAUGCUUCGAUAUUGAUAAUGACGGUUUCGGGCAAGGUAGCUCUGCGCGAUAAAAAGGAUCAUAAAUCUCAAAUUCUUCCUCAAAAAAUUCUUCGUUAUUUGUGUCAAAGUCAACCUUGGGCAAUUUAGAAGAGACGGAAUGCAAAUAUUGCGUAUCCGUUCUUCUUUUCACCCGUGGUGAACUAUUAGUCAUGCCAUAAAUAGGAAAUUGUUUGAGAAAUUAUUGGGCUUUUUACUUUUAAUCCUUCAGUGUGCAAGUUCACUAGUUUAACAGAAGUUAUGGGUUGCUGAGUGAGUUUAAGGCACUGAUUGAUAUAAAGAAUUUACUAAGUCCAAAAAGUAUAAAGACAUUCCAAAAUCGAAAAUAUUAUAUUAAAAUUGAAGAUAUAAUGAUUAUCUAUUGAGUUACUAUUAUUACAAAUUUAUCAGUCAAAGGUAAGUUAAUGACUUUACAUUGAAGCGAUAAAAUCUUAACUAUGUUUAAUUUGUUUUAAAAAACUUUAACCGUUCUAUUGACAACUCAAUAAUAAAUUAUAUCCAUUAAUAGGAAUCCCCAAAAAAAUAAAUAAACUUCCAAAACGCAUAUACUGACUUAGGGAAUUACGGUCCAAAAAACUAGGAUAACAAAAAAAAUGCAAAGGGAGAUAUGGCAGGUAUAUAAAAAGGAAACGGCCAAAAUUUGGGCUAAUUUUAAAAAAACAAAAUUCUAAUUUGAGAACAAGAAUUGCAUAUCCUCGACAGAAAGCUGGUUCAAAGCCUUUUCGUCUUGAUCUAUGGUUGCAUGUAUCAUCUGAGCUUUCUUUUCUUGUAGUUCAAUAAUUUUGCUUUCAAUGGAAUUUUCAAUACACAGGGUAAUUACUUUUAUCGGCCUUUUUUGUCCAAUACGAUGAAUUCGAUCCAUUGCCUGCCACUGUACAGCUCCAUUCCACCAAGGAUCCAUCAUAAACACUUGAGAUGCCUCUGUAAGGUUCAAAGCAACACCACCUGCUUUCAACGAAACUAGAAAAAUGGUAAUAUUAAUAUCGUUACUGAAAGCCUCAAUAGUAGCUGCUCUCGCUUUGGGGGUCAUACCACCAUCUAGCUUUACACAAUUAAACCCGGCUUUUCGAAGUCGCCAAUGAAUGAGAUCUAACAUAGAAGUAAAUUGAGAGAAAACAAUCGACUUCAGUGUUCGGUCCUUCUUACGAAGUAAGUAAAGCUCCUCAACUAAUGCUUCAAUUUUUGUAGAUGAACGCCAACUAUUCAUAUCAAUUCUAUUCAAAAUCGAUGCAUUCUUAAACUUCUCUUCAGAAAAAUCUUCUAAAGCAGGGGCACUAAGAUCUAUGCUUAAGGGAAUGAAACAACUUGGACAGUUGACAUUUUCUCCAUCACCAGCUGCAUUGAUAUAUUCCGUAACGCAGAGUCGACAAAAUGUGUGAUGGCAACGUGAUUCUAUAGCAUCUUGAGCGACUUCGUCACAAAUCUUACAGACGAUAUUUUCCUGAUUUUCAAUAUCAACUGUUUUUCGUUUGCUAGCUAACACCAGGUCAGGAUGAUCUGCCAUUUGGCGCAUUCGUGUAAUUAGCUGGAAAAUGUUUGCAUAAUUAUUCAAAACGACACCUUCAGCAAGAUAUGUAUUAAAUUUUCUUUUUGAAUCCAUAUAUAAAGAUUGGUAUACAUCUUCCUCUUCUUCGUUGAAUAAAUCUUUCCUCACUUCAACGACUCGAGGAGGUAAUCCAAGGUCAUCAGCCCUCUCUAAUUUUGUUCGACGUAACAUAAUGUGUUUUAAUAAAGAAUGCACCUUUUUAAAAGCUAGCUUUCCUGGACCUUCGUAUCCAAACUUUUGUAUUGGUUUUAGCAUUUCAGCGUUAAAAUAGCAAGUAUGACUCAUUGGUUUAUGGCCGCAUUCGUCGCAAUUACUUCUAUCGGAAAAUCUCCAGUGCAGAGAUUUACAUUCACAUUGCAAGCAAUAGUAGUAAGCAAAAGGAUCUGCCCGUAGGAACCGAAGAAGUGAAAAUAAUUCUCCAAUACGGUUUUGCAAAGGUGUUCCUGAAAGACAUAUCUUUCUUGUCGUUCUUAAGCCACAAACAGCUCUGGCAGUGUUACAAGUCCUUGAUUUGAUACCAUGGGCCUCAUCAAGUAUAAUUCGGUAAAACUCCAUUUGAUGAAGUAAUGACUUUUCUUUUACAACACCGUUUUUCCUUCUGAAUCCGCUGCGUUCCUUCCUGUAAACUGAUUCAAUUACAUUGUAACUCGUUAGUACAACAUCAUAGCUCGAAAGCUCUUCUCCUGAAAUAUCACGAGCCUGGCCAUAAUAAAGAUAUGUACUCAGUGCUUUAUUGGUAUGUGUAUCAAUCUCUUCUUUCCAUUGCAUAAUUGCUACAACCGGAGCAACAACCAAGGUUGGCUUACCUCGAGGUUCUGAAAGCAACAACGCAAUUGUUUGAAUAGUCUUACCCAUACCCAUUUCAUCGGCCAAGAUUCCUCCACCAAAAGAGGAAUCUUCUUGUCGUUUUAACCAAUAUACACCUUCUCGUUGAAAAGGGAGAAGGUUUAGGACCAACUCUUUGGGUUGCUCGAUCUGUUUCACUUCACGAGGUGCUUCUUCUUCCAAUUUCUCCCAAACAUGUUCUAGUUCAGGAUGUUGUCGAAUCAGACGAUAAUGGGUUCUUUCAUGUGAUGGAAUUGAUUUUGCUUGUGUUCUAGAGGAAGAGGACGCGGAAGAAGAAGCCCUAGCGGAUACCCUCCUUCGUUUGGACUGGUAACUUAAAGGGAUUGACUCUUCAUCACUUUCCGUAGAAGAACUUGGAGCAGCUUCUGGAAUUUCUACUUUACUAUCAAAAGUUUCAUCCUCUUUGAUAUCAAUUAUGCUAGCAACUUCAUCACUUUCAUCAUCAUCAAUAAAUUCGGAUUCAUUAGAUUCUUCUGGAGAUGACAAUGGCACAAACUUUUUUUUCAAAUUCGAGGACCUUAAUGAACGUUUUCUGGCACUAGAAAAACCUGUAUUGGGAUUUGCUUCUACAUUGUCUGUGCUGCUACCGGUGUGUGUACUGGUAUCAGAAAUGGAUAAUGGGGGUGUCGAAUGUUGAGAUGAGGUGUUGUUUGACUGGAUAAUCAAUUUUUUGUUUGUUGACAGAGGUUCUUCAAACUCUUUUCCGUUCCAGCGCGUUGUCUCCAUAUCUAACUUGUCGUCACGCUCGACUUGUUGAUUUGAAGCAUUCCCCUUUGAAUCACCAUUAUCAUCUAGAACAAAAUGCAUAUUUUCUUUUCCCUUAUUACUAUUCGAGUUUAUUUUAUUACAUGACGUCCCCAUUUGUGAAUGUAAAUUGUUUUCAACCACUUCCUCAUCUUCACUUUCUACAAUAAUGCCCGCAAUGGGAGAAGAUGACCAUUCAUCUUGAUUGCCUGGUACAUCAUGAAUGUUAUUUAUCUCUGAAUAAGUAGUAGAAAAUGGAGCCUGCCCAUUACUUUGCUCAUCAUUAUUGUCUGCUUGAAGAGACGCCUGAGUAGUAUGGUUAUUGCGAGUAUUUUUCCAAUUUAUGGAAUCAAUUGUAUCGUUUGAAUUAAUAUCUACAGCUUCAUUUUGUAAUUGGUCC